AACGAACGCUGGCGGUAUGCUUUACACAUGCAAGUCGAACGGGUAAGAGCCGUAGCAAUACGGAAUUCUGCUAGUGGCAAACGGGUGAGUAACGCGUGGGAACCUACCUUAUAGUACGGAAUAGCCCCGGGAAACUGGGAUUAAUACCGUAUACGCUCUACGGAGGAAAGUUUUAUCGCUAUAAGAGGGGCCCGUGUCAGAUUAGCUAGUUGGUGAGGUAGUGGCUCACCAAGGUGACGAUCUAUAGCUGGUUUGAGAGGAUGAUCAGCCACACUUGACCUGAGACACGCUCCAGACUUCAACGGUGGGCAGCAGUGUGGAAUAUUGGCCACGGGACGAAAGCCUAAUCCAGCAACACCGCUUGAUUUAUAAAUGCCUUAGGGUUGUAAAACUCUUUCUGUAGGUAAGAGAAUGACGUUACCUACAGAAGAAGCACCGGCUAACUCCGUGCCAGCAGCCGCCGUAA
rnacentral:rRNA from 1 species